rnacentral:rRNA from 1 species
UGAGGAAUAUUGGGCAAUGCCCGCAAGGGUGACCCAGCAACGCCGCGUGGAGGAUGAAUGUCGUAAGAUUGUAAACUCCUGUUAGAGGGGAAGAAUAGUACCGGUUGGACCGGUAUAUGACUGUACCCUCAGAGAAAGCCCCGGCUAACUACGUGCCAGCAGCCGCGGUAAUACGUAGGGGGCAAGCGUUGUCCGGAUUUACUGGGUGUAAAGGGCGCGCAGGCGGGAUAAAAAGUCAGUGGUGAAAUCCUACAGCUUAACUGUAGAACUGCCUUUGAUACUUUUAGUCUUGAGUGCGGGAGGGAGAGACGGAAUUCCAGGUGUAGGGGUAAAAUACGUAGAUAUCUGUAAGAACACCAGUUGCGAAGGCGGUCUCUUGGUCCGACACUGACGCUGAGGCGCGAAAGCGUGGGGAGCAA